rnacentral:lncRNA from 1 species
CUUUUCGAGGUAGGAGUCGACUCCUGUGAGGUAUGGUGCUGGGUGCAGAUGCAGUGUGGCUCUGGAUAGCACCUUAUGGACAGUUGUGUCCCCAAGGAAGGAUGAGAAUAGCUACUGAAGUCCUAAAGAGCAAGCCUAACUCAAGCCAUUGGCACACAGGCAUUAGACAGAAAGCUGGAAGUUGAAAUGGUGGAGUCCAACUUGCCUGGACCAGCUUAAUGGUUCUGCUCCUGGUAACGUUUUUAUCCAUGGAUGACUUGCUUGGGUAUGGAGAGUCGGCUUGACUACACUGUGUGGAGCAAGUUUUAAAGAAGCAAAGGCAGACCUGUUAUCCUAAACUAGGGUUUUUAAUGACCACAACAAGCAAGCAUGCAGCUUACUGCUUGAAAGGGUCUUGCCUCACCCAAGCUAGAGUGCAGUGGCCUUUGAAGCUUACUACAGCCUCAAACUUCUGGGCUCAAGUGAUCCUCAGCCUCCCAGUGGUCUUUGUAGACUGCCUGAUGGAGUCUCAUGGCACAAGAAGAUUAAAACAGUGUCUCCAAUUUUAAUAAAUUUUUGCAAUCCAU